rnacentral:misc_RNA from 1 species
GAUGAAGAACGCAGCGAAAUGCGAUAAGUAAUGUGAAUUGCAGAAUUCAGUGAAUCAUCGAAUCUUUGAACGCACAUUGCGCCUUCUGGUAUUCCGGGGGGCAUGCCUGUUCGAGCGUCAUUAUAACCACUCAAGCUCUCGCUUGGUAUUGGGGUUCGCGGUUCCGCGGCCCCUAAAAUCAGUGGCGGUGCCUGUCGGCUCUACGCGUAGUAAUACUCCUCGCGAUUGAGUCCGGUAGGUCUACUUGCCAGCAACCCCCAAUUUUUACAGGUUGACCUCGGAUCAGGUAGGGAUACCCGCUGAACUUAAGCAUAUCAAUAAGCGGAGGA